CACGGGGGGAGCAAGCGUUGUUCGGAUUCAUUGGGCGUAAAGAGCUCGUAGGUGGCUCUGUAAGUCGGAGGUGAAAGCCCACGGCUCAACCGUGGAAACGCCUUCGAAACUGUGGAGCUUGAGGCUGGGAGAGGAAAUCGGAAUUCCUGGUGUAGCGGUGAAAUGCGUAGAUAUCAGGAGGAACACCGGUGGCGAAGGCGGAUUUCUGGACCAGUUCUGACACUGAGGAGCGAAAGCCAGGGGAGCAAACAGG
rnacentral:rRNA from 1 species